rnacentral:lncRNA from 1 species
UGCUUACCAUUCCUGUCCAAUCUAUUCUAUUCUUCUCUAUUCAGGUCCCUCAUCUGAGAAACUCCAUAGACAACAGGAGGAGGGGUAGAGAAUCCAUUGUUCCCAGCCUGGUGUAAGAAUCCUGUGAAAGGACAGCUGUGUAGGUCAAGGUGGCAAGGAUCAUGCAAUGGUCUGUCUGUUCCAGCUCACUGCAAAUUAAGAGUCAUGGAAUUUGUAAUAGGGUAAUCUGCAUUUCAUAAAUUAGUUUGUCUCCUUUCUCAGGUGGAAAAAGAAAUACAGUACAAUAAGUUAAAAUGUAUUUGCAGUUCUAGACAAAUAUAAACUGCCACCUAAAGAGUUUCUGUCACUAAUCUCAUUCUCUUAAUCUCUACAAGAUUUUGUCAAGAAAAAAUAAAGUCAAAACUCAUUAAGGCAUAAGUUUAAGACAGAAAAAAAUCAAAACUUUAUGCUAAGUUCCAUCCAAUCAUCUUGGAUUUCCAAAAUUCUCUAUUUGCCUUUGUUGAUGAAACAUCCAUAUUAAUCAAGUUCUAGGUUUUUCCCACCUCUAAGAAAAUGUUAUACCUUGAGACUUUUUUCUUUUACCCUAUAGAAAGAUUGCUAAAAAUAUUCUUUUAUUUAUAUGUGGAUGAUAGAUUGUCAUUUUUCCAAUAAAACUUUAUUUUUUCUGAUUACAUACAAAUUUUUAAGAAUCAAAUACAAAAACCAUAAUAGAAACAAAAAGUGGAAAGCAGAUAUCUGAGUUUAUGAGUCCUAAUGUUCUGGAAUAGGAUUGAGAUAGAGGCUGGGGUUGUGGCUCAGCAGUAGAGUGCUUGCCUAGCGUGUGUGAGGCACUAGGUUUGAUCCUCAGCACCACAUAAAAAUAAAGGUAUUAUAUCCACUUAAAACUAAAAACAAAAAUAUAUUUUUUUAAAAAAGGAUCGAGAUAAAGUUUAGGCUUUAUAAAUAAAAAUGUAAAAAUUUACAUAAAAAUAAAAUGUGCAACUGCAAGUUUGAAACAAAGCAUGAAAUCUGACAGCAGGAAAAGUGAAAGUUGCAUUUAAAAAGGCAAGGUAAAUAGUAAAAAUAAAGGCAGAAAAAAUAAAAGUAUACCAGUUAGUAUUAUUGGUAAUACUAAUAUUAUUAACUGCAAGUGAGUUAAACUCCCUAUGAUGAAUAAACACUUUUUUUAUAGGCACUUAAAUCGUUUUAUAAUUAUAAUAUAAAUAAGACUCAAAGCAUCUUAUUUCCAGUGGUUAGAGUUGAUCAUCAGACACAUUGCUACCCUGUGGUACACAACAUAUCUGACAAACAUAUCUGACACUACACAGGCAACAAUGGAGUAUGUCACUUUAUGAAGGGUACCCUCUUCCUCUGGUCUGAAGUACAGUGUGGAGUUUCUGAGAUGUAGGAGCAGUGAGGAAAGAAACUACAGGACCAAAAUUGUCUUUUCUGUACUGUUAUUUGAAUUGCUUCUUUGAACAUUUGUUACUGAUUUAACAGGCAGUUACUCAGUUUUAGGGGUUGGUUUUCUUUCUUUUCUUUUUUUUUCUUUUUGCUUAAGAUUAUAGAAAAUUUCAAACAUACAAAAAAGGUAAAGAGGAACGUACAAUGAAUUCCCAUCUAUGUACUUCACACCUACUUAAUAAAAUUGUUUUCUCACAUUUCCAGAUGUCUUUGACAUUUAGUAUUCUAGUACUGGACAUAUAUGUAUAUUGUUCUGCAGAGAGCUUUCCUGUGGGAAGCCAUCCUGACACGUGACUGGGCGGCUCCCGUUAAGGGUCUGAGGCUUCUGGCUGUGUCGGAAUUUUCCCGGCCCUUUCCUGAUGAGAGAACCCGUCCGUGUGGGGGUGUGACUGACCACUGACCCCGGGGGCCCAAUCACUGACCCUGACCUUGGAGUGCAGUCCCCCCUCAACCUUCAUUGGAUGGAAUUAUCCCCUGAAUUUCUUGUUCCCCAAUAAAAGGCUACUCCCUGGCGUGUUCACUCUCUCUCUCUCCUGCUAGCCCUGAGUAAUCCUUGCUGCCCUGCUGGGCGGUUAGAGGUUGGAGCCAG